GGGCCGCUAGCUCAUAUUGGUAGAGCAUCGCUCUUUUAAGGCGAGGGUGCCGCGUUCGAUUCGCGGGCGGCUCACCA
rnacentral:tRNA from 1 species